UACGUGAAACYGUUUAGGGGUAAACCUGAGAWACCCGAAAGAUCGAAUGGGGAGAUUSAGYGCGUCUCCGAGCCGGCGAGCGGCGGGGUUAGCGACGGACGUCCUUCGGGACGGCUGCGCGCCCCGUCACCGCGUCCGGUUUGGAACGCGUGCACUUCUCCCCUAGUAGGACGUCGCGACCCGUUGGGUGUCGGCCUUAGGCUAGCGGUGGAGCCCGCGAGGACGGUCCCGGCCGUUCUUGCGGACCCGCGGUGCCCGGCCGGCUCCGACUCCGAUCACGCCGGUCGGCGACGCUUUAGCUUUGGGUACUUUCAGGACCCGUCUUGAAACACGGACCAAGGAGUCUAGCAUGUGCGCGAGUCAUUGGGACUUGCUAAACCUAAAGGCGAAAUGAAAGUGAAGGC
rnacentral:rRNA from 1 species